rnacentral:rRNA from 1 species
AUACGUAGGGAGCGCGCGUUGUCCGGAAUUACUGGGUGUAAAGGGAGCGUAGGCGGGAGUGCAAGUCAGAUGUGAAAUACAUGGGCUCAACCCAUGGGCUGCAUUUGAAAAUGCAUUUCUUGCGUAAGUAGAGGUAAGCGGAAUUCCUGGUGUAACGGGUAAAUGCGUAGAUAUCAGGAGGAACACCGGUGGAGAAGGCGGCUUACUGGGCUUUUACUGACGCUGAGGCUCGAAAGCGUGGGGAGCAAACAGGAUUAGAUACCCUGGUAGUCCACGCUGUAAACGAUGAUUACUAGGUGUGGGGGGACUGACCCCUUCCGUGCCGCAGUUAACACAAUAAGUAAUCCACCUGGGGAGUACGGCCGCAAGGUUGAAACUCAAAUGAAUUGGCGGGG